ensembl:lncRNA
UUUCAUUUCUGGUUGAGCGCUCAGACUCCUCUGAGCCCGCCCGGGGUUUGCUGGUGUGGUAAAUGGUUUUUUCCUACCUCUUCAACUAGCCAUUGGAUUCCCGAGUCUUCAAAUCAUGAGAGUGAUGUUCCAGAACUGCCACACUGAGCUAUAAAGUUCAGCUGUGCCUCAGAGCUGUGGCACUUGGCUGCAAUGCUGAGCUGUAAAACUCAGCCAUGCCUCUGAGCUGUGGCACUUAGCUGAGACACUAAGCUGGAACACUUGGCUGUAGCACUGAGCUGCUCUGCUCUGCUGCAAUAGUUUUGCAGGAUGUCUCAGUCUGCGUUGGAAGUUGUGGUCUUUUAUGGCUUGAAACACUUCACUCCAUACUCUCCUGGCCUUUCAGUUUAGAGACCAGAACUAGAAAGAUAAUUGGGCUAAGAAGACACCCAAUAUUUUGGCCCUGACCCUUCAAGGUCUACAAACAACCCAGGACAUGAGAGAAUCUUUUCUACAAGAUCUUACAACUUUGAAAAUAAAAAGAUGCUGUGGCCAUCAUCCCAGAAUGUACGAUCACGGAUCAAGAUGAUGGAUUCACUGCAAACAGCAUGAUGUGAAAUCCCUGCUGAAAGCCAUGCAAGGGCUGCAUCUGAGUGACUCCCCUCACCUGCUACAGCCCUGGGAUCUGCAAAGAUUUCCAGAACUAAUGCAGCUGCUGUUUUCAAACAGAGAAGGGGGAGAUGCAGAGGAUUGUACUAUUGAUUAUGCCCAAAGCAGGCUGUAAAGAGUUGACCCCACAACUGGCUUGUUUAUAGAAGUGAGUCUGGCUGAAGCCUACAUGCCAAGGCUCCAGUCCUGAGCAUCCUGUUCUGAUUCUGCCACCACAGACUGGUUUUGCCCAUCCUUGCCGUCAUGUAAAUGGAAUUGGACAGUCUGUGCCUCUCAGUGUCUGGCUUCUAUUCAGGUUGAUGUUAUUAGGAUUCAUCUACAUUGUCGUGAGCAUUGGGAGUUCUUUUAACUGUACAGAUUGCAGGGAUAGAAUACAGUUUUAUUCAUUUUCCUGUGGAUGCACAUUUAAGUUCAGUUUAGGCUGUUGUGACUAAAAAUACUAUAAGAUUUCAUAUUUAAAAAUUUUGGGGCCAGGGAUUUAACUCAGUGGUUCCGGUGCCUGCCUCACAAGUGCAAGGUCCCGAGUUCGCUCUCCGGUACCAAAAAAAAAAAAAAAAACUCCACAAAAAACAAACUUUGGUGGACAUCUAUUAAUUUCUAUUAAUUUGGAUAAAUAGUUAGAAGUGAUAUUACUUCAUAACAGCAGUUUCUACUUUUAAAUUUGUGAGAAACUGCCAGUUUCCAAAGGACAGUAUCAUUCUGUCUAUUCCCAGCAGUCAUGCAGGAGGGUAUGGUUAUUCCGUAUCCUCACCAACCAUUGGAUUUGUCUGGCUUUAUCAGUCAUUCUGGUGGAUGCACAGUGGUGUCUUCCUGAUGACUAGUGCUGUGAAGCAAUUUUUCCUGUGUUCAUUGGCCAUUCAUCUACCUUCCCUUAGAAAGUGUCUAUUUAGGGAGUUGGACCAUUUUUUAUUGGAUUGUUUGAAUUCUUGAAAUGCAGGAGUUCUGUAUGUAUCUUGGGGUUAUUAUACAGAGUCCACAAAAAAAAUGUAUACAUUGGGAAAAGCAAAACUUGUAUAAAUAUUUUAAUACUAAAUUUAUUGUAUUCAUCAUGAGAUUAAUACAAGCUACAUUUGGCCUUUACAAUUACAAGUAGUGUUCAAAGUGGUUGCCUUUGGCUUCCCGACAUUUAUUAGCAUGGUGAGCUGCUGAAGCGCAUAUACACUUUUGUGCAGACUCUGUAUAUAUUCAUUCUCUAUGAAAAUACUUAGGAACAUGUAUAUUUAUAUAUCUCUUACCUAAUACAAAUAUAUGAGAAUAUAUAUUUUCUUCCCAUUUGAUACUUGCUAUUUAUUUUUAAUAGCAUGUUUUUUAAUAGCAUGUUUUGAUGAGCAGUGUUUUCAAAUUUUUAUGAAAUGUGAU